rnacentral:rRNA from 1 species
UACAGAGGUCCCAAGCGUUGUUCGGAUUCACUGGGCGUAAAGGGUGCGUAGGCGGUUGGGUAAGCUUGACGUGAAAUCUCCGAGCCUAACUCGGAAACUGCGUUGAAUACUAUCCAACUUGAGGAAUGGAGGGGAGACUGGAAUACUUGGUGUAGCAGUGAAAUGCGUAGAUAUCAAGUGGAACACCAGUGGCGAAGGCGAGUCUCUAGACAUUUCCUGACGCUGAGGCACGAAAGCGUGGGGAGCAAACAGG